AUGGGCCUGGCCCCUGAGAUCCUGCUUCUCCAUCUGGAGCUCAGGUCAUAUUCCAGAGUCAUUUCAAGAUGGGCCUCAUUGUUUGGGGAGGUCUCUCCAAGUUUCUGCUCUUUGUGUUUACAACAUCAACUGAAGUCAUAUUUUAAGCGUGAAGGUGGUGGAAAACUGGACAGUCUCUGUGUUCUGACCUACAGAGAAGGACGUGAACUUGAGAGCCAUUCUUCUACGUUUGCUUUUCUCCUGGGCUAG
rnacentral:lncRNA from 1 species